rnacentral:ncRNA from 1 species
UAGCCUUUUUAUUAGCUCAUAGUAGACUUAUACAUGCAAGAAUCCCCGCCCCAGUGAGAAUGCCCUCUAUAUCAACACUUGAUCAAAAGGUGCAGGCAUCAAGUUCACUUAAUUAAGUAGCUCACAACGCCUUGCUCAACCACACCCCCACGGGAUACAGCAGUAAUUAAAAUUAAGCCCCAUGAACGAAAGUUCGACUAAGUCAUACUAUACCCCCUGGGUUGGUAAAUUUCGUGCCAGCCACCGCGGUCAUACGAUUAACCCUAGUUAAUAAAGUACGGCGUAAAGCGUGAUUAAGAUACAUGCUAAAAUAAAACUAAAUCCUCACUAAACUGUAAAAAGUCCUAGUGACCAUUAAAAUAAACCACGAAAGUAGUUUUAAAAUAUCUGAACUCACGAUAGCUAAGGUCCAAACUGGGAUUAGAUACCCCACUAUGCUUAGCCCUAAACACAAGUACUUAGCAAACAAAAGUACUCGCCAGAGAACUACUAGCAACAGCUUAAAACUCAAAGGACUUGGCGGUGCUUUACAUCCCUCUAGAGGAGCCUGUUCUAUAAUCGAUAAACCCCGAUAUACCUUACCACCUUUUGCAAUAUCAGCCUAUAUACCGCCAUCUUCAGCAAACCCUAUUAAGGUCUUAUAGUAAGCGCAAUAAUUAUACAUGAAAACGUUAGGUCAAGGUGUAGCCUAUAAGGUGGAUAGAAAUGGGCUACAUUUUCUAUUUGCCCUAGAACAAUUUCAACGAUGACUUUUAUGAAACCUAAAAGUCCAAGGUGGAUUUAGCAGUAAGCUAAGAAUAGAGAGCCUAGCUGAAUAGGGCAAUAAAGCACGC